rnacentral:rRNA from 1 species
UGGGGAAUAUUGCGCAAUGGGCGAAAGCCUGACGCAGCGACGCCGCGUGAGGGAUGAAGGUCUUCGGAUCGUAAACCUCUGUCAGCAGGGAAGAACGGUCACUGUGCUAAUCAGCAGUGAAUUGACGGUACCUGCAAAGGAAGCACCGACUAACUCCGUGCC